UUUCGACAAUAAUAAUAAUGGGGGUUUUGGAGAUGUUUAUGAGUUCCUUUUAUGAGUCGGUAGUUAGAGCGGCUUCCCUCUCAACCUCUCUCUCCUGCUAGAGGUAUCCACCCUCACUAUAUUAUAAAACGGUUGAUUAUAUGUCACGUAAUAAUACAAAUUUAAAUUAACAGUUACAAUGUACCUGAGUAGGAAGAGCGAGAAGAAACAACCGAAUGAUGAAUCGAUAGUCGACAUUCAAGAAGAAAAACUGUUAAUAUCCAAGAAGGUGAUACAGAUGUCACCAUGGAAACUGACUUGUCCUUAGACAAACCUGGGUCAUAGAAAGAUCGCCUCAUGGGUAAAGGCCUGCGCUUUGAAGAUAAAACAGAAACACCAUCCAAAGAUGUCGAAGAAGACGACCUAGAAUUACUAGAAGAUUAUAUUAGAAAAACUUCAGUAAACGACAUACCAGCAAUUGAAUUCUCCAAACGAAUCACUCAACUUCUCAUAGAAGACAUGGAAUAUACGGUGGUAAUCAAACUCUUAGGAAGAAACAUUGGAUAUGCAACCUUUCAAAACAAGAUACAAGCUCUAUGACAACCGAGUCAACCAUUCAUAUUAAUGGAUAUCGAAAACGGCUACUACCUGGCUAAGUUUCAAAAUCCCGGAGAUUGUAAGAAAGUAUUAGGCCAGGGGCCUUGGAUAGUCUAUGGACAGUACCUAACUGUCCAACCCUGGACCAUUGAUUUUAACCCCUUGCAACCAUAUUCGAAUAUGGUCAUGGCCUGGAUACGAUUUCCUGGAUUGCCUAGACAUAUGUACAAAAGGAAAAUAUCAUGGGAAAUAGGAGGAAUGAUAGGAAAAGUAGUAAAAUUGGAUUUUAAUACUGAUAAUGGAGUCUGAGGAAGAUUUGUAAGAAAGGCAGUUUACGUUAACCUUGGAAAAGCCAUCAUAUUGCAAGUCUUAAUCAACGAUAUUCUACAGAGAAUAGAAUACAAAUACCUGCCUACGGUGUAUUUCUCCUGCGGUCUUUAUGGGUAUUCACAAGACAUAUGCCCAAAGUCAAUGAAUGAGCAACAAAGAACCAAAGAAAGCAUCGCUGAAACAUAAAUAAGACAGGAUAAUAAAACAGGGAAAAAUAAUCCCACAAACAGCUCCGACAUUUAUGGACUAUGGAUGCUUGUCGAAAAAUGAAUUUGCGAUGAUCAAAAGAAAGGCAAAGUAAUAACUGCGUAGCCAGAGAAAAGAAACAAGAAAACACUCGGUUUCAGCCAUUGGAAACCUUUAAUGAUGAGAUGGGCUUAUAUGUGAAUAGGCCCGCCAAUGAAACUAUCCUAGCCCAACAGGAGGUGGGCUCCGCAAUGCACCCAUUAGUUGAUAAACUAAGACCAAUAUCCACAGACUAGCAACAACAAAGGUCUGGUAAGGAGAGCACAGCAUAUUCAGGCCCAAACAAGCAGAAUCAAAUAAAAAAGAUAGGGCCCACCAUAUCCACCUCAGGGAGCCAAAAUAGAAUUAAUCUAGAGAAGCAAGGUUAUCCAGGCCAGACGCAAACUGAAUCAAAAUCAAGAAAGGGGAAAGAAAUAAAUAAAGAAUCACAAACAGUACACAUUUUGCAGUUACAACAUUUAGGGGGAAAUUCAGAGAUGGAGGUGACGAAGGUAAAAGAAAAUGACACAAUGACAGAGAAGCAGGCAAUGAGGGAAAUUAUUAACCAACAACCUUUAGAAAAUUCAGGGACUCAACUCAGCCUACAUUCCAAUGAUGAAAGACUAGUGGAGGUUGCUGUGACCCUUUCUGUCAAAAUUUUAGACACAGCCAAUCACUCAAUAGUGGUUUUUAAAGAGCUCGACAUCCUUGGGGAAAACAGGAAGAUCGGCUUACUCAUAAAAAUUCUAUGGGACGACGAAAUAGCUCUUCCACCGCCAGAACAAUUGAAGGAAAAUGAGUGCAAACCUGAAGGGCCAAAAGCUCAAGCGUAUCAUUCAGGAAAAAGGAAGUCCUUUCAAACCAUAUCCCCCAAAGUCCCAUUGAAAAAAUCAAUUAAUAAUAUGGUGGAUCUGUUACAAGAGCAAAUCAAGCAAGGACUUCUCAACAAGGUAAAUGAAGGAGGGGAGAGGUGAAAAGAAAGCAAGAAUAAGACAUAACAACAAUAUUAGACUGGGUACAAUCUUUCAAACCUUAUAUAAUGAAUUUUAAGUUCAAUUUAUCAAUUUUUGUUUGGCAUUGUUAAGGGUGCGCUAGUGCCAAAUUUCCUCACAUUUUUAGAGAGUAUAAUGUGGAAUUUAAACCAGAUAUAGUAGGCCUUCUUGAACUAAAUGUGAGUAGUAGUAAGGCGGAUGAAAUAAUUGCUAAAUUAGGCUUUCAUCAUUCACAUCGAAUCAAAGCAAAGGGUUUUUCAGGGGGAAUUUGGAUUGGUUGGAAAGACACAAUCCACCUGGAAAUAAUCCAAUAUCACCCUCAAUUUAUUCUGGUUAAAAUAUGUAAUGGAGACAAACACAACCUAUCUUCAUAAUGUUUGUUUACGGAAGUCCUAAUUCUACGAAGAGGAAGAGUUUAUGGGAAGCAUUAAAAACAAUUGUACCAUUUGAUCGAACUCUAUGGAUAGCAUUAGGAGAUUUUAAUGCAAUCCUUUCCGCCGAAGACAAAAAAAGUAGAAGCACCGUAGGGAAAAUAUGCCCAUUAUCCGGGGAGUUCAUUGAAUCCAAAAAUCUUCAAGACUUGGGAUUCCAAGGACCCUCUUUCACUUGGCAACGAAAAGGAGUCUUCGAAAGGCUAGAUCGCACAAUAGGAAAUGAAGCUUGGUGCCAAUCUUUUCCCCACUACGCAAUAACAUAUCUUAUAUGAAUUAGAUCUGAUCAUAGGCCUUUGUCAGUGAAUUUUAAUCUGAAUUUCAAACUCCUUAGAGGCUGACCCUUUAGAUUUCUCGCCGGAUGGGCACAACACCAAGAUUUUUCUAGCAUAGUUAAAAAUUCAUAAAAAUUUGAUGGAGACAUGUAUAGCUCAUUAAAUCAGCUUACUGCAAGUCUUAAAGGCUGUAACAAAAAAUUAUAUGGUCACAUUAGAUAUUGUAAGCAGAAAUUAGUAAAAUCUCUAGAUGUGAUACAAAUGAAACUGGAAAAAUCAUACUCAUAUUCACUGGCUCAAAAAUAAAUAGCAAUCAGAGAAGAGCUAGAAAAUGUACUUAGUCAUGAAAAACUAUUGUGGAAGCAAAAAUCCAGGUGCGACUGGCUUAAACUAAGGGAUAGAAACACGAAAUUCUUCCACAGUGGCACAUUACACAGAAGGAAGAUCAAUCGCAUUAUUACUCUUCGACACUCAAAUGAUGACUGGCUUUAUGAUCCAGAUGACAUAAAAGAGGAAGCAAUUAACUACUUUCAAAAAUUAUACGGUGAAAACCCUAAUAGAUUGAUGACAUUAUCCCCUAGUUGUUUCCCUCUGUUAGACACCAGGGACAUUGAUUUUCUUCAAAAAGAAGUCACGGAUGAAGAAAUUAAAACAACACUUUUAGACAUGGCCCCCUUAAAAGCACCAGAAAGUGAUGGAUACCAUGCUUUGUUCUUCCAAAACCAAUGGGAUAACAUAAGAGGAGCAGUUUGUUCUUGGGUUAAAGAUGUUUUUAAUGGACGACCCAUCGACCAAGAAUUAAAUAACACAUUAAUUGUCUUAUCCCGAAGGUUGCUCAACUAGAAGAAAUAUCUCAAUUUUGACCAAUAAGUCUUUGUAACAUUCUUUACAAAUUAGUCAUGAAAAUAAUAACCAAUAGGUUCAAAAAGGUUUUUCCUAAAAUCAUUUCUCAAGAACAAACUGGUUUCAUUGCUGGAAGAAACAUUAUUGAUAAUAUCAUCAUUGCUUAAGAAGUCAUUCAUUCAAUGUGAGGAAGAAAUAAGAAAUGGAUGACAAUCAAAAUUGACUUAGAAAAAGCUUAUGAUAGAGUCCGUUGGGACUACAUAGACAAAUCAAUCCAAGCAACUGGAAUACCAGAAUAUCUACAAAAAGUUAUCAUGUCAGGCAUCACAACGGCUAUUAUACAAGCCCUGUAGAAUGGGGUGCCCACUGAAAAAUUUAAACCUGCAAGAGGAGUAAGACAAGGAUGCCAUUAUCACUAUACUUAUUUGUCCUCUGCAUGGAAUGGCUAGGACAUUGUCUUAAUUCCUCCAUCUCCUCGAAAAAUUGGAUCCCUAUUAAAUUAUCUAGAACUGGACCUAACUUGUCACACCUAUUCUUCGCAGAUGACUUAGUGAUUUCCUCAAAACAUGGCAUGCUACUAAAGAAUAUUCUUGAACAGUUCUGCAGUUUUUCAAGACACUGUUUCAACUCAAGGAAAACCAAUGUCUUUUUCUCAAAAUGAGUAGUAGAAGACUUAAGUAAUAGGAUCAGUGGGAUUUUGGGGUACCAGAAAGUACAAGAACUGGGAAAAUACUUAGGCAUCCCCUUAUUCCACAAAAGAAUCACUAAAUCCACAGUACAAUUUGUAAUUGAAAAGGUCUAGUCAAAAUUAUGCAAUUGGGAUGCAAAGCAACUUUCCAUGGUAGGACGUUUUACCCUAGUUUAGUCAGUACUCUUAACCAUCCCUAAUUACUUCAUGCAAUCCAUGGAAAUCCCAAAAGGGGUGUGUGAUAAAACUGAAUGUAUAGCAAGACAAUUCAUCUGUGGCUCAAACACGAGAGGAAGGAAGCUAGCACUUGUGGAUUGGGGAACAGUAUGCCAGCCUCGAGUAAAUGGUGGUCUUAGUCUAAGGCGAUUGCAGGAGCAAAACAAAUCCUUUUUGUUAAAAUUAGAAAUGAACCUCAUCUCCAGACGGAAUGCAUUAUGGACGCAAGUACUACGCUCAAAAUAUGGAAUGAAAGAAGUUAUCCCAGAGUGUAUAGAAAGAAGAAAUAGUUCUGCACUAUGGAAAGAAAUUGAGAAGAUCUGGCCAAUAUUGAAAGAUAAUUUAUGCUGGUCAGUUAGAAAUGAAGCGGAAAUAUACUGCUGGAAUGAUAAUUGGGUUCCUAAUAUAGGACCACUGAGGAAACAAACUCAAAAUCCGAAUAGACCAAUCAACGAUUGCUUGCUUAAAGACAUGAUAACAACAGAGGGGGCAUGGAACUUAGAAGCAUUCAGAGAAAAUUUAACAGAGGGAAUCGUACAAAGGAUAAUUGGUGUACCUCCUCUGCACCAUUCAGUAGGACCAGAUAACAUCAGAUGGACGCCUGCCUCUACUGGAAAAUUCUCGAUCAAAAAUGCAUACCAACUAAUAACGGAGAAUUCAUGGAAUAAUCGAGAUACCAGGUGGAAGGAUAUUUGAAAGUAUCCAGGCCCUCAACGCAUCCGUUUCUUCCUAUGGUUAGCUUGUAAACAACGACUACUCACCAAUCUAGAGCAAGCAUGAAGAGGACUUGACUACAAUACCUCUUGUCCAGUGUGUUAGCACAACACAUAAGACGUUCUUUGUGCUCUCAAAGAUUGCCCGUCAACUAAAGAAAUUUGGCUAAACAUUAUCCCCCAAAACUGGCAAACUCAAUUCUUCUUUGGCAAUAUUUUUGACUGGGUAAAGGAAAAUUUAAGACACAAUGAAUGGAUGUUAUGGGCUCAAACCUUCUGGCCAACCCUUUUUGGUCUAGUUGCAUGGCGUAUAUGGAAAAAUAAGAAUCUAUUUGUCUUUCAAGACGUAACAUGGAGUUUAGCUGAAACCAUCAAGAUCUCUAUGUGCUGGGCAAGACAACAUACCAACUCACAUGCGAGGGAUCCAACUAAAGAUAUAAAUGAAGAAACUGAA
rnacentral:lncRNA from 1 species